CACUAUCUUCUUCAGAAUCAUCAACAUAAGAUUUCUGAACAUCGUCGUCAAUUUCUUCAACUUUCCUUUUCUUUUCGUACCGUUUUUAAAUUUUUUGCUCCUUCUUCAACCCCUUUUUUUUUUUUCAAAAUUUCACUGAUCUUCACUGGUUCAUUGCAAAACUUCGACCUAAUCUCCUUCAAUCUCCCAGAUUUCUUCAACUGUAUAGGAUUUACAACAACUUUAACUAAAUCUUCUUGAGUUAACCCAAGACUAAAAGAUUGUGCAUAAUCAAACUCUACAUUCAUAUUCCGUAUACCGCUAUUUAUUGGUGUUUUUGCUGUAUGUUCAUCCAUUAAAAUAUAAAACCCUUAAAAUCUGAUUUUCAGUUGAAUUACAGUAUAAUAAAAAAGGAACCGCUAAUAUGCAAUAUGCAAUUAAUAGUUACCUGAAAUAGAGGAAGUAAAUCAUUAGCACAGAUCGUGCUAGAAUCGUGCAAAAGGAACAAAAUUUGAAGUGGGAGAGAUCGUUAAUGGUGAAAGAAAAGGAAUAAAAAAUUUAAAUUAAGCAAAGAGAAAUAAGAAUGACGUGAAAAGGGGGAUUUUAGCCCAGUAACUUUCUUAGGGGGCAAAAAGUAGCGGACCACUUAAAACAAUACUAUAGAUGCUACAUAAUGUAAUUAGGAUAAAGUGUUGCUAUUUUUUGUAAUUUAAUACUUAAGUAUGUUACUAUAUGUAGUUUUCCCUUAUAUUUUAGGGAAAAGGACACUCUAUGACCUUUUUAAAAAAUAAUAGCUCAAGUUUGGCAUUUGGACAAAUAAUGUCCAGUUGGCUAAACAAAUGUCAUUUUAUUGUCAUUUUCUAAUCUUUUCCAAUUUGGGUCAUUUUGAUCCACGUAAUUCAUAUACAGUCCAUAUAUGAUACUUAUACAGUUUAUAUACAAUACUGAUACAAUAUUCAACUUGGGCAAUUCGACCCUUUUAAGAAUAUUUCAAUUUUUUUUUAACUAUAAAUUUUUAAAUUGAUCAAAUAUUCUGCUUUUUCUAUUCUUUAGAAAUAAUAAUUAAAUUAUAUAAAAAUGAUAUAAUUAUUAAAUAGAAUAUGAAUCUAUAUAAGAUAUAUGUAUAGAAAUUGUAUAGUUCUAUCAAAUAUGUAUAUGUACAAUAUAUAGAAAGUGUAUACAAAUUAUAUAAUUGUUGUAUAGAACGUGUAAAAAAAAGUACAGUUAUUAUAUAAAUUAUAUAUCAAAACUGUAUAAUUUUCGUAUAGAAUAUUUAUGUAUAAGAUCUGUAUAAAACCUGUAUAAAAGUUGUGUAAAAAUGGUAUAGAACCAGUCAGUAAAUUAAAAUGUCUAGAAAGUGGAAUUUAAAUUUCAUGGCCAUUUUCAAGGAAUAGUUUAAUUUGAAGUGCAAAUGUACAGUUAUUAUAUAAAUUAUGUAUCAAAACUGUAUAAUUUCCAUAUAGAAUAUUUAUGUAUAAGAUUUUUAUAAAACCUGUAUAAAAGUUGUGUAAAAAUGGUAUAGAACCAGUCAGUAAAUUAAAAUGUCUAGAAAGUGGAAUUUAAAUUUCAUGGCCAUUUUCAAGGAAAUAGUUUAAUUUGAAGUGUCGUUUCUGUCCUUUCCCCUAUAUUUUAGUUUAUCAAAAUUAGUGAUAUUUUGCUAAUAAAAUCAAAUAUUAUCUUAAUCAUCAUUGUGAUUAGCACGUAUUCUUAAAAGUCUAAGAAAGAUUUUAUAUGGUUCAUUGUGAUCUAUAUUGAUCUCCUCUCUAAAAUAUUUCAUGUUUAACUUUCAAAUAUUAACUCAUUGACGAUCAAAUUAGAGCUUCAAAAUUUUUUUUUUUAUACAAUUUGCUACACUAAAAAAUAUCCAUUAUUCAGAAUCAACAUGCAAAAUUAAAUUAUGACUAGCCUACAACUUGAAUACAUUUUCAUAUAAUUCCAUCAUACGAUUGUAAUAUAACUUUAAAUAUAAAAAUCAAGUUCAAUUAGAAAAAAAAUAUAUUUUCAUAUAAUUCCAUCAUACGAUUGUAAUGUAACUUUAAAUAUAAAAAUCAAGUUCAAUUAGAAAAAAAAUUAUACUAGUAUAAAACUUUUCAUAUAACUUUCAUGCAAAUUUAACACAACUCCAUACCACUUGAUAUGAUUUCCAUUCAUUUUCCAUAUAAAUUGCUUAUAGUAUUUUACUUACUAUUAAUAAGUGUGAAGAAUCAGACAGCUAUUCAUCAACAUGUUUGCUUCUUCACCUACUUCAGCUGUUCCGUCAUUUUACUAUAUUAUCCUUAGUUAAUUAUUUUAAGUCAUUUAUAUAUAAGAAAAUUAAUAAUAUUCAAUUAAAAAAAAGAUAAAAUAGACAUUUAUGACAUGUUUAUUUCAACUGCUUUAAUCAUAAUUUUAUCAUACCGCUCUAAUUAAUUAUUAUAAGUCAUCUAGAUAUUAAAAAAUUAAUAAUAUUUAAUAAAUAAUAAAAUAUAUAUAAUUAAUAAAUUAAUUCUUGAUAUUUUAAAUUAAUAGGACAUCUUAUAUGAGACUCAUUUUAAAAAAAUUUCAAGUAUGUUUGCUCCAUGAUUUUACUAUAAUACCCCUAAUUAAUUAUUGUAAGACAUUUACGUAUAAGAAAAUUAAUAAUAUUUAAUUAAAAAAGAUAAAAUAGACAUUUAUAACAUAUUUGCUUCAGCUGCUUCAACCAUUAUUUUACUAUAUCACCCCUAAUUAAUUAUUAUAAGUUAUUUAGGUAUUAAAAAAUUAAUAAUAUUUAAUAAAAAAUAAAAUUGACAUAAAAUGAUAAAUCAAAUUCUUGAUGUUUUAAAUUAAUUGACAUCUUAUAUGAGACUCAUUUAAAUUUUUUUCACAAAUAUUUUACCAUAGUAAUUUUGCUAUAUUACUUCUAAUUAGGUAUCAUAAGUCAUCUAGGACAUUUCCGCUUCGCUGUUUCAAUCAUAAAAUUUGAUUGACUCUCGAAUUUAUUUUAGUGCCACUUAAAUUAGAAUAGAAGAAAAAGUAUUAUAAAUCAUAAUAAUUAAAAACUUAAAUUAUUUUUAAAAUAUAAUUGACUAUCAAUGCCACAAAAAUUCGGAUAAGGAGAAUAACAUAUAAUAUUUAAAAAUUACAUAAAAAAUAUUAUAAGCUACAAUAGCUAAUAAUUUAAAAUAUUUAAAGACAUUAAAAAUAUGAUUGAUUAUCUAAAUUAUAUUUAUGUCACAUAAAUUUGGGGUAGUUUUAUCAUUUUAUAAUUUACAUGUUUUAAUAUUUUAAUUUAGUAAUUUGUUGAUCCAAAUGAUAUUUUCGAAUUUAACAUGUUUUGAAAAUUUAGUACUUUGUUUAUUUUAAUUUUUAUUUUAUUUUGGUAAAAUAUUAUAUAUUUAAAAAUUAUGCAAAAAAAAAAUUAUAAGUCAUAACUAUUAACAUCUUAUAAUAUUUUAAAAACAUAUAGUUAAAAAUAUGAUUGACUUUUGAGAUUCUAAUAGUGUCACAUAGGUUGCGAUAAAGCAAGUAAAAUAAAUUAUUUAAAAAUUUGAUUGACUCUCUUAAUUGUAAAAUUGGGACAAAGCGAGUAACAUAAAUUACUAAAUUAUGUAAAAGGUACUAUAAAUAACAAUGAUUAAAAACUUAAAUUAUUUAAAAAUUUAUAUUAAUAAAAGUUUGAUUGACACUUCAAAUGCUAUUUGUGCUAUAUAAAUUGAGAUAACUAAAUAAUAUAUGUUGGGCCCGUGCUACAGUAUCUAGUACAUACAUAUAGCUUGUUUGGGAUUUAGUUUCUCAAAAAAAAUAAAAAAAAUUAAGAGAAGGUAUUUGAUAAACUUGUAAAAGUAUUUUUAAAAGAAGCAGAAGUAGCUUUUCUAUUUUUAAUAAGAAGUUGAAAUUUUUUGUAUUUCAAAAAAGGCAGAAGCAGAAAUCUCUAUCACUUAUACUCAAUACACAUAUAUACUAUUCAAUUUAUCCGCUUCGCGCGGUCAUUAAAUUACUUUUUCUAAAAUUUUAAAAAUUUGAAAUAUUUUUAUUUUCAAUUCAUAAAUAUGGAUCAUAUUAAAUAGUCAUAACUAACCAAAUUCUGCCAAAGGCAGAACUAUUAUAUUAGAUACAAAUUCAAAUCAACUAGUAGUAGCUUAGUUAAAUGAGCAAAGCCCCACAUUUUAGUUUUGUUUCAAUCAAGAUAAUGUCAUUUUAUCAUAAUAUAAAACAAAUAAGAAAAUGUCAAGAUCAAACAUUAUACAUCAAUAAAUAUGGAUAUUAAAUUAAUAUUAAUAGCAUAGUAAAAUACUCAUAUUAAUUACGGUUCUCAAGGGGCGUUCAAAGACCAAAUUAAACUAUGGGAGUAUAAUUAUAUUUCGCCGAUGGAGUGGUGGGUAGUUAACAGUGGUUUUCAAUGGGUCCGGUGAUGAAUUCCACUAUUGUUGUAACCUUGCAUUAAACCAUGUACAUGAAAUCUCCAUGAAUUUGGAUCAUUUCUACCAAAGGCACAUGACAAAUACCCAGUAAAACUUCUUGACACAACAACAUUUGAUAACACAUAUUCCAGUAAUAUAUUUGCUCCUGCAAAGUACCCCACAAAUUCCCCGGCAUAUUCAUUAACAACAAAUAUAUAAACUUGUUCUACACAACAAAAAUAUUGACAAUUUAUGUAACAUGAUAAAUUAGACUGACGGUGUAUAUACUCCCUCGUUCCUUUACAUUUCGCUUCAUAAGUGAACGGAGGGAGUAUCGAUUAACCUAUCGACAGUUGCAUGUAAUUAUCUUUUAAAUGACACGUCAGUAUAUACAAGUCAAAACCUUACCAAAGGCAACUCGAAGAUAACUGAAAGCGCCACUAGCAACAGGAACAUCAACAAAAAACUCAGUAUAACAAAAGGAAUAAAGACGGGUUGAUAUAAAAGCUAUUAUGUAUGAGAUGAAAACUCAGAUAUCUAGAGUUUUUUCGAGCAACGGGGCCAGUAGUAAGAAAGACUCCAACACCAAGCAUUCCCCCAACUCCAAGUUCUACUAAAUCAUCCAAGUCAGUUUCCUCUUCAUGUCAGCACCAGACCUUAGCCUCACUUUGUUGAGUUCUUGGUCCGGUGUUCAUGUUGCUAACAUUCUUUUCUUUAGCUUUUGAGGUGUUUUGGAAAGAGAUUUAAGGUAAGUUGAGAACACCAUCCUUUUUUUUUGUUUUUUUUGGGUGUAAAUGUAGUUUCAUUGGUUUUCAAUGAGAUGUCUUUAUAUAAGCAAUCGGAAUAACAUCUUUCUUGUAAGCAUUCUAUUAUAUAUGCGACUGGUCCAACUAUCUAGUGUAUUUGUAUAUAUUUUACACGUAGUUUGUAUAUAUUUUAAUGGUCUAUGAUUUUUUCUGUCGAAUUAACUAGUUAAGUACUGAAUCAGUGUUUAAAAUCAUGCCUUAUACUUUGUGAUACAAGUAUGAUCAUAAUCAUGACACUUUUGAGUAUUUUUGAAGACUAGUCACUAAAGAGCCUUUUUGUCAUUUUAUCUAUUAUUGUAAUGUAGUAUAAAUAGAACAUUGUAAGGUUUAUUUCUUUAGUUGAUCAUUAUUAUUGAAGAAUACUUCUCUUAGAGUGAGAGAGAGUCCAAUUGAAACUAGGGCAUAACAUAAGGGUGGAUUCUCUUGUGUGUUGCAUUUUGCUUGAUACGUUGGUGCUUGGGUGGUGGACGCCUCUCUUGUGUCAAUUGUAAGAUUUAGGUAUUUAUUGUGUGAAGUUUUAAAGGUCCAAUAGUGGAAUAUGCUUUUGGAUUGUUAAGACUACAUCAACACUUGUCUAACUACCUAUCUUGUAUCUUGUUUUAGUUUCGGCUUCUUGUGUUGUUAAUGUAACCCGUUUGUUCUUGUUGCUAUUGUAAUAUUGUGGAGCUUCAUCUUGUAUUGCUAAACUUGUUUUUGGCUGGCUGUUUUGGUGUAUUAACACCCUGUAUCCUCUAUUUUCUUGUUCUAGAUAGUGAAUCCAAGAGAGGUCCCCAUUUGGUACACGAUUUGUUGUGAUUUGUGGACUGUUUUGGGGUGUGAUUUUGUAUUCCCUUGUUUGUUCCGUAUCAUUUGGUAUCAGAUCAAGGUUUGAUUUUGUUCCAACAAAAUCAAUCUUGGGAUUGUUAUCUUUUAAAAAAAAGUUACUGUUCACGUUUUUAGGGUCUUUCAAAAAACUUAAUUUUUGUGUGUUUCUAGUGUUAGAUCUUGUUCCCUAACACUAUUAGAGUAUAGAAAUUGAAAAUCCUAACAAAAAAAGAAGUGUCAAAAUCAAAAAUCCCCCAAAAAUAUACUAAACCCAUUUUUAAUCCUAGGUCAAAUUUUGAGUUUUUGAUUUUGCGUUUUUCUUGUGUUUUUAGUGUUAGAUUUGUGUUCUCUAACACUAUAGAAGUAUAGGGUUCAAAUUUGAGCUAAAUUGGAGGUUAUUUAAGCCAUCCACCAAUAUUGAGCUUGAGGUUGAAGAAACUUGAGGGUGGGAUCUUAUUGUGGGAGGUUGUUAUAAAAUAACGUGUGUUUUGUGUUGUAGGUUUUGCUUUGUAUUAUUGUGUGUGACGUUGCGGAUUGAUUUGGUAUCUUGAUUGGACCGUAACUUGAAAGGUUAUUUUUGAUACCACCACAAUGGAACCUGAGGCUUCAAAUGCUCAAACAAUAGAUAAUAAUGCCAUCAAUCUCAUUUUGGCUCGCCUUGAAACUAUGUCCCGAGUGUGGUUAGGUUGAAUGUGGGUCUUGAGAAAUUAGAUACGAAUGUGGAAUCAAUGAGUGGGAGAUUAGAACGUGUGGAAAGCCAAAGGAGUCGACCUUCUACCCCUCAAAACAUUUUCCCAACUAAUACUUCCGAGACCUUGCACCAAAUGCAAUAUACACCAAUUGCCAUAAAUCAAACCAAUCUUUACUCCCGAAGCCAAGAUCAAGAUAGACCAAGCCAUCCUUCACUCCACCAAGUCCAACAAGAAGGGCUUGUAAUCCAAAUACCAUCACCAAACCCGAACCCUCCUAUCCAAACUCCACUUGACCAAAAACCUCACUAUCCAAAUCCAAUCCCGCCACUACAAGCUCUACUUAACCCAAAUAGACCCAUCCAUGUUGAGGGCUAUGGUAGGGGAGGACAACAUGAUGGUUAUGGGCCGNNNNNNNNNNNNNNNNNNNNNNNNNAGGAGUCGACCUUCUACCCCUCAAAACAUUUUCCCAACUAAUACUUCCGAGACCUUGCACCAAAUGCAAUAUACACCAAUUGCCAUAAAUCAAACCAAUCUUUACUCCCGAAGCCAAGAUCAAGAUAGACCAAGCCAUCCUUCACUCCACCAAGUCCAACAAGAAGGGCUUGUAAUCCAAAUACCAUCACCAAACCCGAACCCUCCUAUCCAAACUCCACUUGACCAAAAACCUCACUAUCCAAAUCCAAUCCCGCCACUACAAGCUCUACUUAACCCAAAUAGACCCAUCCAUGUUGAGGGCUAUGGUAGGGGAGGACAACAUGAUGGUUAUGGGCCGUAUGAUGACGUUUACUUGAGGGAAGAAAGAAUGAGGUGUAGACAUGGGGAGUUAGGCCGAGAGGUGAGGGAUGACCACCCAAACCGAGAUGUAGGUCUCAAUUCCAUCAAAGUGAGCCUUCCCGUUUUCAAAGGUGGGAGUGAUCCCGAAGCCUACCUUGCAUAGGAGUCAUCUUGUGACAAGAUUUUCCAACUUAAUGAUCUCGCCGAAGAAAAAAAAAGUUGUUAUGCUAUAGCUCACUUCGAAGGGUAUGCUAAUACAUGGUGGGAGUAUGUUAAACGAUUUGAGAAUGAGAUGAUUGGGUGACAACCUCCUCCUUGGUUUCGAUUGAAGAACCUUAUGUGACAAAGGUACUUUUUCGAGACUUAUAGGCAUGAGCUCCUUGCUAAAUUAUAUUAUUUGAAGCAAGGGAACAAGAGUGUCAUGGCUUACUAUGAUAAAUUUCAACAAUUGAUAUUGAAACUUGACCACCGAGGUGAGCAAGUAAGUCAUUACAUUGUGCGCUUCAAGGUUGGGUUAAACAAGGACAUCUCCACUCGCAUGACGCUUCACAAAUUCAACACCAUAGAUGGCAUCUUCCAUGCGGCUUGAGAGGUUGAAAGGGAGCUCAAAGAUAACUCAUUCAUGACUACCCAACCCGAGGCUACCAAGGUUGUCCAAAAACAUCCUCCAAGGUAUGAAGGUAAAUUGAAUUCUACUUCCAAUCCCAAGGGUGGGGCCACAAGGCUAGUGAGUUCCCAAACUAGAGGAACGUGAUCCUAAGAGAGAGAAAAUUGUACUAUCUUGGGGAAGAAGUAGUAAUUGAAUCGGCUAAAUUUGCUGGCAAGGCUCAAGAUGGAGAGCAAAAGGAGGUUAAAAUGCAAGGCGAGGAAGAUGUAGAAGAUAUGUGGCCGUGUGAAGGAGAUUGUGAAGUACCUUUGUAAAAAAGGUGAGGUUAUGAAUUUGUGGGCAAAUUCCUCUCAAGAUGGAGAGGAUAAUACAAGUAUGAUCAUCAUGAUCAUGACACUUUUGAGUAUUUUUUAAGACUAGUCACUAAAGUGCCCUUUUGUUAUUUUGUCUAUUAUUGGAAUGCAGUAUAAAUAGAACAUUGUAGGGUUUAUUUCUUUAGUUGAUCAUUAUUAUUGAAGAAUACUAGAGAGAGUCCAAUUGAAACUAGGGCAUAACAUAAAGGUGGAUUCUCUUGUGUGUUGCAUUUUGCUUGAUACUUUGGUGCUUGGGUGGUGGAUGCCUCUCUUGUAUCAACUGUAAGAGUUAGGUGUUUGUUGUGUAAAGUUUUAAAGGUCCAAGAGUGAAAUAUUCUCUUGGGUUGUUAAGACUACAUCAACACUUGUCUAACUACCUAUCUUGUAUCUUGUUUUAGUUUCGGCUUCUUGUGUUGUUAAUGUAAUCCAUUUGUUCUUGUUGCUAUUGUAAUAUUGUGGAGCUUCAUCUUGUGUUGCUAAACUUGUUGUUGUCUGGAUGUUUUGGUGUAUUAACACCUUGUAUCCCCUUCUUUCUUGUUCUAGAUAGUGAAUCCAAGAGAGGUCCCCAUUUGGUCCAUAAUUUGUUGUGAUUUGUAGACUGUUUUGGGGUGUGAUUUCGUGUUCCCUUGUUUGUUCUGUAUCACUUGCGCAAUAACUUUCAUAUGAAUCCCAUUGUUGGAAUGAAGGAGAAAAUUUGAAAAUUUUACUCGUGAUAUCCUAUGAAUAAAAACGUGAUGAUGAUUACACUGUACAAACUUUCUUAUUUACUAAAAGGAAUAUGCUACUACUGAAAAACUACCUUCCAGCUGUCUUAUUUACAAUUUACCGAAGUAUCUCAAGUGGGUCGGAUUGGGCUGGUCCGACUCGGUUAGAUCGAUACAAACAGAGGUUCGGACUGGUCUGGCCCGGCACCGGCUAAGGGGGCGGGUUUGGGGGUCGGGUGCUCAGGUUGGUCUUCUGGUCCAAGGAUCCCGAUGGAUUGACCUAGUUGAUAAAUCAGACCAGGCCCACCGAUCAUCCGGACUAAACUGACCCGGUUGUUUUAAUUUUUUUUUAAUUACAUUUUCUUACCUAACAGCCCACCUAAAUUUUGGACCGUUGACCAGUAACGACUAUAUAGUCGUUGUCCCAAUAGCCAAAUUCAGCUUUGGCUGACAUUUCUUUGAAAAAAAGAUAUUCAAUUCAAUUUUUUUUUGCUAUAAACAUAUGGCAUUGGAAAUUAACUUUUUCCACAACUCAUAAUCUCAUUCUCUUAAUUAUUCUAAUUAUCUCCUAAAGUGCUCAAUUUUAUUUUAUUAUUUUGCAAUUACAAAUAUCAAGUGGAAGUUUUCAAAAGUCUUAACUUAUGAAUACUUCAAAAUUUUGGUAUUGUUGUUCCAUCUCUUACUUUAAUUUUUAAUUAGUGUAUCAAUUGUUUAAUAUUUAUUUUUAUAUUUUUUAAAUAUUUAUUAGUUUAAUUUGUAAUAUGGAUAAAUUAAGAAAAAUCAGUAAAAGUGUUAUAAAUUUUUGUCUCGGAAGUGGUAUUGAUAGUAAAAGUAAAUUGAUUCUUGUUCUGGUAGAGAUAGUUCAAGUACUAGAUAUGCUCGUGUGCCUUCGGUACCAAUUAGCGAACCCUUUGAGAAUGAAAUAGGUGUAGGUACUCACGAUAUAAAUUUUUUAGAAGCUCAAAAAAAUUAUGGUAUAGAAGAAGAAAAUGAAGUAGACACAAUUGAUUUAAAUGUAGUUAAUGAUGCUAUUAGUGAUAUAGCCGAAGUCGAUAAUGCCGAUGUUAUAUCUAAAUUGGUUAAUCUUCCUCCCCGGCCCCUGUAAGAUCUUGUAAAAAAAUAGUAUUUUUUUGUAUGAAAGUAGAAGGAACUACAAAGGUCCAAUGCAAUAUUUGUCAGACAAUUAUAUGGGCAUAAAACCGAAGGUAAUAAAGGGGGUACGGGUGCGUUGUGAGACAUUUGAAAAAUGAACACCCAAUAGAGCUAGCUGCGGCAAAAGGUGGUGGGACUAUUAGGAAACCAACUCAAAAUAGAUUGGACCCAAGAACCGGUCAAUUAGUUCAGAAUUGUAAUAAAAUAAAAGAUAAAAAAGAAUUAACAAAAAUGAUAGUUGUGAGUUGUUUGCCUUUCUCUUUUACUUCUUCUGAAACUUUUAUUCAUUUUAUUUAAGAAAUUUACAACCCUAUGUUUACAGGUAUUCUUAGAAGUACUUGUUGGUCUGAUAUUUUUGGACUCCAUGCACAAUAUAUUUAUUAUUUAUCUGCAUUAUUAUAAAGUCUUCCAUUUAGAGUUGCUCUAACUUCUGAUCUCGUUCGUGCUGUUAAUAAAAAUGAUUAUUUAACAAUUAUUUAUCAUUGAAUAGAUAGUAAUUUUGUUAUGCAAAAACGUAUUUUAGUAUUUUUGUAUGAUGAAGACUGUAGACACACUGUGAAAUUUAUUUAUGAAUCUAUUACAAAAGUUGCAAAAUAUUAUGGCAUUGAAAGAAAAUUAUUAUGUAUAUCUUUUGAUAAUACAUCAAACAACAACGUUGAUGUUGACUUGUUAAAAGUUAAACUUUAUCCACCAUUACCCGAAAUAUUUCAUGUUAAGUGUGCUUGUCAUAUAUAUAAUUUAAUCGUAAAAGAUGAUCUUAAAUUUUUUGAGUUUAGUAUUGAAAAAGUUAGACUUGUGGUUGACUUUAUUCAAGGAAAUCAUAGAAAAAUUAGACUUGUAAGAUUUAAAAGAAAAAUGUGAACAAAAUAGACUUAAACCGGUAUUAAUGCGUAGAUUGUAAAUGGAAUGCUACUUAUGAUUUUGUAAGAACUUGUUUUAUUAAUAAAGUUCCUAUUACAAUGACUUUUAAUCAAUUUACUGAUUGUUUUCCUAAGUGUAUGUUAUAUGAUUCUGACUGGGCUAUAAUUGCUGAUCUUGUUAAAUUUUUGAAAAAAAUUAUAUAGCUAGGAUUGAAUUUUUUGGUGCUUAUUAUACUAUUGUUUGUAGUAUUUUAGCUUAUUUAGUCAACAUUUCUUGUUUGCUUAACGAAUAUAAGGAUAAACUAGGUUACAAAGAAGCUAUUGCUGCAAUGACUGGUAAAUUUUAAAAAUAUUUUUUAUCUGCUCCCCCUAUUUACUUGAUUGGUGCUAUAAUAAAUUAAUGUAUGAAAUAUAAUACUAUGUCCAAAGUUAAUUCUAUUAUUUAUAAUGCUUUAGCUAUACAACCUGAAGAAGAACCUUCUUUGUUUAUGGCUAUGGGUGAUGCAAUGCAAAUAAUUACAAGAACGCAUUAUACAAUCAUUAUGCUUGUUAUACCCCAUUUUAACACGAGUCAAACCAAGGUACAACAUAUUGAAAAACUUCUAAUUAAAUUUAAAGAAGUCGUCAUCUAAUUAGUUCUACGGUGAAUUAGGAUACUUAUUAUAAACUAAGUGAUUAAAAAAAAAUAAAGACUUCAUUGUAUGGUCUACGCAACUUAAAAUUCUAGGUAAGAAUUCUAAUUAUCCUAAAGGGAAGGGAUUGGGCACCCUAAAGGAUCCGCUAACUAUGGUUAACCGACCAAACUUAGAUUAGAUAAAAAAAUCAAAAGCUAUGUUAAGAAAGAUAUAAAUAAGGUAUUAAAAUAUAUUUGUCUUAUUAAAACAAAACAUGUUAAUUAUUUAUAAGAAAAUAUUAGAAAAAUUUUAGAAAGGUUCACCCACUUUUAAAAAUUAUAAAAAGAUAACUCCUAAAAAUAAUACAACCUUAUUGUUGUCAAGAGAAAGUUAUUUAAAAUUAAAAGAAAAGACAUCAAAAUUCCUCCGAACUUAUUGCCAAAACUUACUUUAGACCCUAAACUAAUCGGGCAAUUAUUGACCCCCCUUAACAACUUUCAAGUGAAUUAAAUUCACCCCCAAAAUCAAAAUCCCACUCUCACAAUGGAGAGUGCACUAUACACACGCCAUGUCGUUGCCAAAUCAGCGCCACAUCAGUGCCAUGUCAUUUCCACGUAAAAAAUUAUAUAUAUUUUUUUAAAAAGUAAUCCCCCACACAUACAAUUUUAUAUAUAUUUUUUAAAAUAAAAAAAUAUAUAUUUACUAUUUUUAUAUAUAUAUAAAGUAUAUAUAUAUAUAUAUAUAUAAAGUAUAUAUAUAUAUAUAUAUAAAGUAUAUAUAUAUAAAGGGUAAGGAUGGGUGAAAAAGACCAAAAUACCCUUGAGCAAAUUAUAGAACUAGAGCCCAAUUUUUGGCCCUGGAGUGACGCGCCAGGAUUGCGGUCCUUCUAUGAAAUUGGACAAUUGGGAAAUUGCUUAGUGGUGUAAUGUGGUGAAGUCACAUUUGAAACCUUGGUUGUGACCUGGAAGGGCACCGUGAUGCGGUGGAAUCACGUUGGUACACUAGAAUUUGACAAUCCUAAAAUUGAGCCUUGGCUCGAUGCGUCAAUAUCGCGGAGGAUCACUGGAAGACAAUUGCCAUUUUGGCUGGCUCCGCGAUGCACUAAAGUGCUAGGUGGCACACUGUCUCAGUAAAAUGGCUCUAACUUUUCACCCGAGUGUUGGAUUUAGCUGAAUUUGGUAUCAAUGGAAAGCUUAUUUAAUGCUCUACAUGGAAAAAAGUAGAAAUUAGAGAAAUACAAGAUGGUAUAAACAUCAACCACUUUAGAAGUCAUCCAUAUUCACUUAAAAGGUGGAUUUAGGCUUAAGAAACGAUCGGGGUAUUACACUUAGCUAGCGAUUCUGGUGUUCUUUUGAAAUUUCCAGAAAUUAAUGAAGUGACAUAUGAUAAUCUAAAGCCUGGAUCAAUUAAUGCAUAUACCUUAUGUGAAAAGAUGGACAAUGUACCUAUAACCACGUCAAGAGAAGUCUCCAAAUUUUAUCGACCUGCUAGAGCAUAUGUAUGAUUCUGAACACCACUAGAACUAGCUCCCUUAACACCCCUACCACAACCAGUAGGUACUUGCUGAACCCUACCAAAAGAAGGAACCGAGGAUGAUGAUGCAACAGUAGAUCCAGUAGGUCGUGCCAUAUCAGCCAUGCCCCUUUUUGGGCAAUCUCUCAUUAUGUGUCUCGGUAUUCCAACAAAUAACAAGAAUUUUUCCCAAACUGACAUGUACCUAGAUAAUUUCUUCCACAAUGCUUAUAAAGCUAUGAUGUAUUUUCUCUAAAAUUAAUUCUUUACAAAAGUUUUCAAUCAAUAAUUAAAAAGUUAAUUAUAUUAAGAACUCAUUUUUUAAUUCUAAAAAAAUGACUUAUGCAUUUUUAUAUCAAAUUUCAUAAAAAUAAGUUAAUUAUCCUACACUAAAUGAAUAGACAAAAUAUAUAAUGUCUUGAGAAUUUAUUAUUUAUUACGAUACGAAUAAAUAAAAUAUUUCUUGUCAUUACGAAUUCUUAAAAGAGACUUGCGAAGUACUAUCUUUAAUUUGAAAUUAAUAAAAAAAAAAUUGAUUUACUGCAUCUAAAAUUAGUAAAGCCGGUUUUCCGAGUUUAGCGAUAAUAUGCCCAUCUCCACAAAAAACCUAUAUUUUAUUAAUUCAACAUUAGUAACUAAUGAGAAACUAAUUUAAUUUUAAAGAUAGGGCCAUUUAUUCUAAAAAAUAUGUUAUCGCCUAUCAAGUUUUAACCUUUUAAUGAUAUAAACUAUAUAUCGAAGCUUAAUGAUUAUGCUAAGUUUAAAUUCUACGAGGUAAAGAAGAAACGAUUAAAUUUGCUACCACAUUAAAGGUUCGCAUUAAUUCAAACAAGAACACACAAAACAUAAUUAAUGUAUGAAAUGUUAGAACAAAAUAAUAAUGAUUGUCUACAAAAAAAAAUAAAUUUUGAAGAAAAAGGGAAUGAGGAACUAGAUUGCUAGACAAAGAUACGUAAUGCAUCUGUUAUGUCGCUUCUCUGAUUUGGACAGAGAUAGGGUCAAGCCAUGAGGCCCCAAACGCACUCCCAAGUGUACAUGACAUAAAGAAAAAGAUGAUGAGAAGGAUUAGAAACUCGAACUUAAAUAGUAUAAGUAUUAAGGAGAUAUACAAUCUGAGACUAUAGAAUGAUUCAAAGUUCCAGUUUGAUGAGCAAACGGAAGAAGUAAAUUCAAAUUUGAACCUAGUAAACUAGAUGAGCUAACUGCUGUGAUAUGGCAGACAAGAAACAGAGUGCAACACUAAAUCAGAUUACAGCUUAAAAAUAAGAAGAAUAAAACCUAACUAUCUCAAACAAACACCUAAAAAAUGGCACUGACAUCUUAAACAAAUCAGAAGAAAAUGUCCCCUCAAGUCUAAUCCUUAAUGGAAAUUCAUGUUGAUUAUUUGCAACCAUUUAUCACGGUGAAGGGAGGGUGAACAGAUGAUGAAAAUACUUGAUCAGACUAUUCAGGUUUUAAAAAAAAUGAACAAAGCAUAGAGCUUACAAGCUAAAACUGAACGCUUGGCGUAAAUAUGAGAGCUCAUUUCAAUUUUAAAACACAUCAUGGAUGCUAAAGAGAUAUAUGGCAUAUCGUAAUAAAAUAAGCAAACAAACACUUAGAAGGACGCAAGAGACAGACUUAGUGUUUCAACUCGAAGGUAUUUUUAAGAUUCAUUCUAGGCCAAGAGAAAACGAAUUAAAAAAUUCGACUAGCUCGGCCACAAUCUUACACAAAUAGCUAUAAAUUUAAAUGAACUUUGCACAAAUUACUUCAAAGUUAUUCUUGUGAUUCAACAAAUCUGGGAAUUUAAAUGACCAAACUUACCCAUAAAUCUGGAAAAAUUAUAGAGCUAACUACAAGCCAAACUAAAAUACUACUUCCUUUGUUGUAUUCUCAAAAUUUCCACUUGAGGACAUUUGAUCUUUCAUGGAUUGAUGGAGUCCACAAAUAAUAGAUUAAGACCUAGUUAAAAACGAUGACACUUUCUUUACAAGAACCUUUUUGCUUGAAAGGAAAACAUGGCAGUUAAUUAUACACAAACACGGUCAUUUGGUUAAAAAUAUAAAAGGGAGAAUAUUCCAUGUUCUUUGCAAAAGUGUUUAAAGCUAACAUAUGCAUAGUUUAAAAUGGAGAUGUACUUCACCCGAUUUGAUGGUUAAAAUUAGUGCGUGUAAGAGAGAGUUCGCAGGGAUCCAUUCGAAGAGUCUUUAGAAAAGGAACGUGUUAAGAUUGUGUCAAAAUGAUAAAUACAAGUUGAUCAAACAUAAUACUCACGGGAAGUUGACGUAUCUUAUGCCAAUCUUUGAUGACAAGAAUAAGCUAAACAAACAUCUUUUGUAAGGGAAUAAAAAGAAAUAAAGACAGGGGUUAACUGUUGGGUUCAUAGUAUAUGAAAAAAGUGUGAAUGAAAAAAUAGAGAAUAAAAUGGUGGAGGGGAAGGAGACACUAAAAUGGAAAGUGUAUUCCCAAAUUAGAAAGUUUAUUCUUUCUCCCACAUUGAUGGAAGAAGAGAACUUGAAAGUAUUUAUAAUCAAGAACACUUACUCCACAUGGCAAGUGAGGCAAGAAAUAAUAGAUGUCUCGCUCCGUCGUCAUCGCUUGGCUUGAAUUUGGAUUUGUCUUUUUAGACAAACUUUAUUUGAAUUACGAAGAAUGCCAAGGAAAAACGCAGUAAAAUUUUUCUGCAGCGUUUCGGACCUCUAUUUAUAUAUACAUGCAGUAACAGUUGCAGCAUUGUUUUCGAAGUGCUUCAGAAAUGAUACAUUGUUCUGAACUGAGGCUACAGAAGGUUGCAAUGGUUCGAAAUGAUGCUUCAGAAGAUGGAAUCGUUCAAUGAAGUGACACACUGAUUCAUGAAAUGAGAUGACUGUUCAGGAAGAGAUGCAAUCUUUGAUGAACAGACAUAAACUUACAGCAAAAGUGUAACCUUUGGAGUGAACCAUUGCCUCUUUUAAGAAGAGGCAUGUUAUGGCUAUAUAGACCUGCUUUCAUCCACAAGUUUUGAUACGAAAUUUCAGAAUAAAAAAUACUCCUCUUGUCUUCAAAAAUUCUAUGUGAUCAUUCAAACUGUUGAGUGUGUUUGACGAGUCCAAAUAUUUGAGGUACCGCUAUAUUUGGAUUGAAGGCCAUUUUAUCCUGAGAGGAAAAAUUCCAUAACCUUGGGUACAGUGAGGGGAAUUGUUUCCUUAAGGAAACUUCGUGAAUUCGGACGACUUGGCCUUAUUCAUUUUUGUUUCAUCUAUUUUUUGGUAAAAAUAAAAUACAUCUCUUGGAAAGGUCAUUUUGAUCUGUGUUGAGGGUAUUUGAUAUACUUUAUUGUGUUCUUGUUUAUACCUGAACUCUAGUUGAAGUUGUUGUUCUGCAUAUACAGAUUCUGCGUACCCGUGGAAGGAAAUAACAUUAACGCCAUUAGUUUUAAAUAAUGAGUUAGACACUCGUAAUCACCUAUAUCACAUAUUUAAAGGGGAGAACAACCCCACAUACAACGACUAAUUCAAAACAACAAAAAAACACAUUCAGGUAUCCUUAAUUCGGCAAAUGGGCUAAAAAUACUUGACGUGUAUCACAAGACAAAUUUUAAUAACAAAUAUUCAUGGAUUCACGUAGACAUGACAAAGAAAUAGAAAAUGAAGGAAGCAAGAGUUAAUAUUACGGAUAUGCAUACAGGAAGCCAAACUAUUACAAAAAUAAUCAUAAGUCACCUGACAUCAAAAAAGACUUUGAAGGACAAACUAUAUAAGGUUUGAGAUUAACCUGGAAAGCAAUCGUAUAAAUAUAAAAAAUAAGUGAAGAUUUGCGGAAGAUGACCAGCAAUAUCAAAAUAAAAUAAGCACACGUCUUCACGUAAACAUAUUCAAACAUAAAAAGAAGAAGAAAUAAGAGUAAUUUUUACAUCCAACGGCCCCAAAUCCGAAUAAGGAGGAAACCAAUUUCAAGUUCGAUUAUUUAGGAGAUAAAAUAUCAUAGAGAGGAUAAUGAUAUAUGUGAAAAGAUAUAUAACUAAAAUUAAGAACAACGAGCAGUAGUCCCAAAAUAAGAUGAAUACAUACACAUAUAUUUACAGACCAUCCAUAUCGCACGCGAAAUAACUUUUCAUAAUAAAAAAUUACAUACACCCGCAAAUUCAAAGGAAGACAACAACGACAACAUGAGUUUCAAAAUGAAACCCACACAUCGACAGAACCAAAAUAGAAGGAGAAGAAACAAAUCAGAAUUUUAUUUCUUAUUCACAAAGUCGACGAAAACAACAACAAAGAAAAAAAGAAUGAAACAAAAUCGCAUAUUUCUCAGCAAAAUAGGAAGGAAAAGAAUGGAGAACUGAAGGUUCAUUCGCCCCAUCAUAAACAACGGACAACAAACCUCCAUAACCAAACUUCAAGCCAAAAUCACAUAUUCACCAACCAAAACCACUUCCCAAAACUAACGACGACGACAUAUACCCUUUUAUCCAGAAUCGACAAUAACAACAACACAAGUUUAACCAAAACUUAAGCAAAAUCGUAUAUUUUCAUAAUCAAGGUAAAGAAAAGAGGUGAAUUUGUACCUUUUCCAGGGCAGCGAACUAGGAAUCCGAGGCGAAGAGCAAUUCUACCACCAACGACGACUCCGAAUUUGAACAACGAAAGCAACGAGAGAGCGGCGGGAGUAAAUCCAAACCAAAAAAAUUGAGUGCGUAGUGAAUCGGAGAGUGAGAUAAAACUUUUAAAAAAUUCAAUUUCUCUAUUAUGUCCUCCCCUAAAGGGGUGAACAAGACCCCCUUUUUAAUAGACAAAAUUGGAUCACCACAGCUUCUUAGACACGCUUCCACCGGUUCCAACAAUUUGAAAAUUUUCAAUUCUUUGAAAAGGCAAAACCUUUUAGAAAUCAGUAAGAUUGAUUGCUGAAAAGAAAUAAAGUAGAAAAAGGGGUCACCACUUUCAGUCUAUUUGAAGGAAAGUGACGGAUUGGAGGCUAUCUAGCUUGAAUCCGUUGGUUUGAAGGGCUAAACAUUCUCAAAACAUGAAGGACCUUGAGCUUUUCCAUCUUUUCCAGAAAAUGCAGAGCCUAGGGCUUUGUUCUGCUUCAACAAGAAGUGAUGGGGAAGGUG
rnacentral:lncRNA from 1 species